rnacentral:piRNA from 1 species
GUAGUUGGCCAGCAAGCCACAGAGGAA